UAAGGAGAUCUUAGAACGCUACUCACGAACCCUGUCGUCUCGUAACGGUAGUUGUUGUAGAGUCCAACUCCGUUGAUGUAACCAGAGGAAGGACUCUUCCCAUUCUCAUUAGACAGAGAAGGAUUGUAAUUCAACUGGUUCGGGAGGUUCUGGUAAUGGUAUUGGAUCUGGUUACCGAGGCUUAAAGAAAGUCCUCCACCGUGGAAGCUUAGAUCGUUGCUUGAAACCGUUACGCUUCCGUUGAGACCUGCGCUUGUUGUUGGUGGGAUAAAAAGCAUCUCGUCGCAGAUUCUCCUUCUCCCAAUCCCUUGUAAAUCAGCAGAUAUGUGGAGCAAAGUUUGAGAAGUCUUCUGUUGCCAACUUCGAGCGCCAAAUCGCUGCUGUUCUUGCAUGUGGCCAAUUAAUUAUCCGCUUGAGAAAUUCACGGCUAAAGCUCAUACUAAUCUUGAGGUAUGGGAAGAGUUAGAUAUUAGGCCACGAGCAGCAGUCUUCAAGAUAGUCUACAAUUUAUUAUUUUUCAAAAGAGAGAGAAAGAGAGUGUGAGAGCACCUUUAAAGAAGGUCUUUCAUCAAGUUUCUAACAUAUUAAAGCUCCGAAUGGUGAUUGCGGUUUAAGCGGUGCGGGACAAGCGGUUCAACUGCGGUACGGUUUUAAUAGUUAUAAAAUUGUAUAGAUAUAUAGUAUAUGUAUAAAUUUUUGUUACUGUUAACUGCGAGGCGGGACGAGAUGAUGGUCACCAUUCGAAGCCUACAUAACAAAAAGUAAUUAUAGAAAAGGAAAAAGAUAAGGAUUUCAAGAGGGUCUGUCUCGUGGGCAAGAGACGAUGGACCAAUUCUUAGGUACCAUCUUUCCGGCUGUUGCUCUUUCGUUAGCUAAGAAUUUUUUUUGUUUCAAAGUUUCAUAACAAAAGUAAUAUAUAUCACUAUAAAACAAAGUAAGGGACGAUUCUAAUAUUUUGAUCACUAAUGAUGCUCUAAGAAUCUCUCAAACAGAGAUCCCUUCAAUGCUUUUUAUCUCCAAAUAACUAAUACUUUAUAUAUAUAUAUAUUAUAUUAAAAUAUGGGGUGGAUUUCAGUAUGUGAUUUAUCCGGUUACCAACAAUAAACGCAUCACACCGGACCUGUCACGUAUGAAAAAAAGAAGCAAAUUUAAGUUUAGAUGGGCUAAACUGCCAAAAAACAUGGUGGGAAAACAAUCACUGCCAUUUACUCUGCAAAGGUUGUUGACCAGAUGAGAGUUCUCGCCCAGGUUUGUUUGUAAUAGACCCUCUGCGAUUUGGGCCCUAUCAUAAGUGAUAGAAGUCGAAUAGAAGACCCAUUUCUUAGAUACUAUAGUAGAUUAUAUAUAUAUAUAUAUAUAUAUAUAAUAUUCUAGACCAUGCAAUUAUACGUACAUCUAACAUUAUAAAUUCUAACCAUCGUUAUUAAUUAUAAACCUUAUACAAUCAGGCAACUUAUAUAUUCAUUUUGAAUUAGACACAUGUACAAUACAAAUAAUAUAUAUAGUGUUAGGGUUUAUGUUACUAUUAUUAGCGCUAACAUCUAAAAAUAAUAUUGGUCAUGUCACUUUAGAUAUAUAUAUAAUAUUGACAGAAAUAGUAUAAUGUUUGAUAAAGAUACAUGGUCACAAGAUUACUUAAUGACUUUUCAAGGGAAAUAUAUUUACAUAUAUUCUCUUGGUCAAUUAGGCUAUAUAUAUCUCUAAAUUACUCUGUAUACUUUUGGAAUCAAUAUCCCAUAUAAUGAUAUUCGUGCCACAUUUCUAGUGCUCUCUCCGUAUCACUUUAAAUGAUGUUUAAGGAUUUUAUUUUAUUUCAUAAUAAGUGAUAUUUUCACAUUUCUAGAUAAAAUUUAAAGUUAUUUGAAAUUUGUGAUCAAUUAUACUCCUAAAAUACUGCAUUUUUAUUGGUUUAAUUAAUUUUAUUUAAUGUUAGUUUAUGUAAGAAAGAUAAAUUGCAUAAAAUUUUGUAUUUUCUUAAUCUUUGUGCAAAAACUUUAAACACAUUUAAAAUGAUACAGAGAGAGUACUAUAUAUUAUCAAAGAUUUAUUUUGUAUGGUGUUUAAUUGCAAUGGUGAUAUUGAAUGAGAUAAGGUGACAAACAAAUCGCCCUAAAUGAUCGUCAUGCACCAAAGCAAUAUGUUGUAUUUCUUCCGUUCCAAAAUAGGUGAUGUUUUGAAGAGUUUCCGAUGAUUCAAAAUAGAUGAUUUUUUAAUAUUUUAAUAUUAAUUUUAUUUUUAUUGAAUAUUAUGUGACCAAUAAUGUUUUAUAGUUCUUUUGAUAAUUGGUUGAAUUAGUUUUUAUUUAUAUUUUAAUAAUAUUUUUAGAUAAAAAUGUAUAUUUUAAUUUUCGUACAUUGAACUAAAACAUCAAUUAUUUUGAAAUUGAAAGAAUAUUAACUUUUACAAAUCAACCAAGCAAAUAGCAUAACUGGUCAUUGAUGAAAUGAUCAAAGUCCAAAAAAACGUUUUUUUAUUUGAAAACCCAUUUGCGUUCAUUGAAUCCAUGUAUCAUGUUGAUCAGCGAUCUUGUCCUUAUUUGCUUGCUGCAGAUUAUUAAAUUAAUAUAUUCUGUGAAGAGGAAUAAGAAAUUGAGGCAAGUAGAUGUUCGUGACUCUGACUUAGCGUAAGAAUAAAAUUAUACUUCAAGGUAAUAAUAUUAUGAGGAGUAUACUUCUCUCUCGCCACCGCAAUUUAUUAUCUUGAUUUUCCACCAUCGCUUUUUUUAAACGAUCCGAAUAACACACGUACGAAAGGUUGAUUGGAAUCGAUUCUUUAGAUAGUUGCACCAUUUCACUUCUUCAUUUUAUUUUUGGCAAUAAACUUCAUUUAUUCACGAUUAUAUAUAUAUAUUCCCGUUAACACUAGCUAUUGGAUCACAUGCGCGUUCGUAUGUUCGUUUGCGCAACUAUACAAGUAUGAAAGACACAUUUUAAGUGAAACAUCUUUUAGAAAAAUCGGCUAAAAUCCACUUCAAAUAAAUACCUUGUACUAUUAAAAUCUAAAUAACCUAUCUUACAUAUUUUAUUUUGACAGAUUUUUUAAUGCUAGUUAAUUAUAUUAUUAUAAAUUAUAUAAAAUAUUACAAAUUUUGAAAUGAUUUGCAAAAUUUACGCAUGGCAACACUCAUAUACAUUAUGCUAAAAUUCGAUAAAUUUUUCUUCUUAAUCUGUAUAAUUUUUUUUUUUUUCUGGAGUUUAAAACAUAGACUUCCUAAUACAAAAGCAUUAAUAUUUUUUAGUCAAACCAUUACACUGAUCGAGCUCUCACAAGCAGAUUCAUCUUAUUCCCAAUAUCUUCUCAUCAAAACUUUACAUAAGACGCACUGAUGUAUAUGAAACCAUUGUUUCAAAUACGAGUUCUGAAGACCAACUUUUUCCAGCAGGACAGGAUCAAAAGGAUUCUUCUUGUCAUUGAAGAUGUUUGACACGUACGUAUAAUCAAAAGUAUUCUUCUUGGUCAAUAGAGAUGUUUUAGAAGCAAAUAUCCGAUUUUGACAGGUUUUUGGGAUUAAUUGGGAUUUCAGUAUGUGAUUUAUCCGGUUACCAACAAUAAACACAUUACACCGGACCUGUCACGUAUGAAAAAAAAAAGAAGCAAAUUUAAGUUUAGAUGGGCUAAACUGCCAAAAAACAUGGUGGGAAAACAAUCACUGCCAUUUACUCUGCAAAGGUUGUUGACCAGAUGAGAGUUCUCGCCCAGGUUUGUUUGUAAUAGACCCUCUGCGAUUUGGGCCCUAUCAUAAGUGAUAGAAGUCGAAUAGAAGACCCAUUUCUUAGAUACUAUAGUAGAUAUGACAAUUAAUAGUCACAUCUUUUGUAAUAAAAGUUACAAAACAACACUAGACAUAAAUUUAUUGUCUAACUGGGAGUCUUGGAUGAAGGGAUGGACAUGAUUAUUUGAUAUUUGGCUUAUAUUCUAUGGUUGCCCCGUACUUGCUUCGAAAAUCAAGUAUUUAACAUUCUCAAGUUAAGUAAUAAAUCAACAAUUUUUUUACUACUUUUAAGUCCGAAUCAAAUCGAGUAGCAAAUACUUAAAAAUUAACAAGUACUUACCCGUUCUCAGUCCUAACAAGUAGACUAAGUAUUUGCUAAUUUUCAGGUACUUGUUACUUGGCUUAGUUCGUUCAAGUAGUUUGAUUUAGUACUUGUAUUUGGCUUGUUCGAUUUCAUUUGUUUUCUUGGAUCUUCCUAUCUAGGGUUAUAUUCAUUAUAAAUGUAUAAACAGAGCUUGCUAGGUUUUGUUAUACGUACUUGGCUUGUUGCGAGAGGGAUCUUGAGUUGGUGUCUAUGACCAUGUUCUAUCCUGUAACCGAUAAGCAUUUUCUUUACUGAAAUGCUAGCGUAUUCUCAAAGAGAUAGAUGGUCUUUUGAUAGCGAACAGUACGUAGGUUCUAGCAUCCCUUUUCUUUGUAGAGCUUGCUCAAAGUUUCUAACGGAGAGGUCUUCUGUCGCCAACUUCGAGCUCCCAAUCGCUGCUGUUCUUUCCUGUGGCCAUGUUUACCACACAGAGUGCUUAGAGACCAUGACUAGAUAGAGAAGUACUAUUGAGGAAAAACAGGUUGCAAAAAUAACAAGGAAAGCCUUAAAGGCAAAGGCAAAGCACUACAGAAGAUAUAAAAUCCGUGUGGUGGAGUGGAUAGUUACAGAGAGAGUGAAUGCAAUGAGUUUAUGUUCCAGACGACAGAAAGAGAAGCUCUAAAGAUGGAUCCUAGUUGAAGUAGGAAAGGCUCAUCUAAGUUGUCUUGAAAUGGCAUUUCGCUUCUAUCAGCUCCAAGUUGAGUAAAGCCUCGUCCAAAGACUCUGCUUUGAUUAAAGGGUUUUGGUCAAGACACUUUCAUUAUAACAUUUGAGGCAUGACACGUGUCGUCGUAACAAUGAUUCUACAGGGUAGUUUUGGAAAAAAAGUUGGUUCAUCUAAAUAUAAACUAUAGUUUUCAUUAAACUAACCAUAAAUUAAACUAACCAUAAAAUCUCUUAUUAAUCUAAAAAUGUUAUUUUCCAUUCUUUCCUUAAAUAAAACUUACGAAUUACCUAAUAUGAUUAAAAUAUAUAUGACAAUUAAUAAUUGUCAAUAAUAAAUAUUUUUUAACAAUUUAUAUACCCUUUAUCAUUUUUUGUUUAAUUUUUUUGUUAUUAAAAUAAGCUACACAAUUACAUUAACUAUUUAAUAAAAAAAAUUAAUUUUUCGCAUAUGUUGUAUUUUGAAUUUUUAAAAAUGAGUAUAAAUUACUAAAAUGUUAAAAAUCUGACAUAAACUUUUGUAAUCAAUGAUUUAAAUUUUCUGCUAUGAUAAAAUACAAAUAAUUAUAAAACUAGGUGAGUAAGAAAUCUUAUUUAAUAGGUGUUAUAUUAAUAUAUAUAUAUAUAUAUCAUUUAAAUUAAACGAUAUACAAUAUAACACAUACUUAUAUUUUGAUAUUUGCAUUAAACAAAUAUUAAAAAUUUAAUUUUAAAAUUUUAAAAUAUGCAUUGAAUUUUUAAAAAUGAUUAUAUGUUACUAAAACAAUUAAAAUCAUAUAAUAUAUCUAUGUUAAUAUCAUUUAAAUUUAAUUAUAUAUCAUAAACAAUAGAUAAAAUUGAUUGUUUUAUUUAUUUACCAGAAAAUGAUCGUUAAUAAACAAGAGUGAUCGUUUGAUUUAUAUACAUAAUAGGUAUUGAUUCUUCAAUUAUUCAACAUAUAUUUAUUUUUUAUUAUUUUAUAUGUAUAAAAUAUAAAAUAAAUAAUCAUACAUAAAUAUAAUUUUUAUAUAAAAUGUUUAUCCUUGAUCUUAACCUAGGUAAGAUUUGAAAUGGUUUCAUGAUAACCGGUAAUACACAUUUCAGGGACUUAACCAAACAUCUCACCUGUGAUGACCCCUCUAUCUGGAACAGAAAAACACAAGUUACUUAGGAAAAGCUUUGUAGAAACAAAAACAACAGAUAUUGAGCUUCAUCUUUCAAGUUCUGUAAUCUCCAUUACAUGCCGUUUCUUUGAUCUAGAUGAUCUCCAUGUUUACAACAUGGAUGGAACAUGCUCAGAAAAACAAUUGACAACAGAUUCACACUUGUAGCUGUAACAAAAAAAAAAUUAAAGAAAAAUCUUUUCACACUUGAGGAUUAUAUUUAUACACAAAACAAUACAAUAUUGGCUUACCAAAGUGUAGCUCAGUAUCAUAUACAAACCUGAAGACUAAUGCCACCACCAGGAAAUAUUACAGAUAUAUAUAUAUUGUGUAUCCCCCUAUCUAUAAGAAUGCAAAAAGCGCAUCUUUCUUGCGCUUCAAGAAUCAUUACUCCCCAAUCCAAUCACUGGCAUUGCCAGUUCUUGAGCUUAUCAAAAGCUCAGAAACGUUUUCAGACAACAAAGUCGUGUAAUUGAUGGGGAUUAGAGAAUCUACCAUCUUGCUGGUUUCCAAGGCCAAUGUAGCGGUUGUAAUCAUCCACACCAAACCCUUGAUGAUAGUUCAUCAAGCUGUCGUAAUCUCCACUAGUAGAACGGUCUGCAUCAGAUGUAUACGGGACGUUGUUGUUUCCAUGACUCUGUUGUUGCGAAGAAGAAGAGUCUUCAUGUUUGAGCUGAGAUGUUUCCUUCAUUUUGUUGUUGUCUUUGUCUUGAUUAGAGUUAGAGAGUAACUCUGAUGAUGAAUCUCCAAACUCUUCUUUAUACAUCUCCUCAAUCAUCGGUUUCCAUAGCCGAACUCUCGCGUUAAUAAACCAGUUAGCAACCUAAACAAUGUAGGACAACAUUUUUCAAGAGCCAGAGGAACCACUCAGCAACAACAAAAGUGAGAUCACGACAAGACCACUAGGAAAGUGGAAACAGACGAGUACUUGACCGUCAUAUCUCUCUUUUUUUGUUUUACCUGGUUUUUCGAUAGUCCUGUCUGUUUAGCAAGCAUGAUCUUCUCUGACUCCUUAGGAUAACUACAAAACAUUUGAAAAUGGUUAUGAACUAAGCAAAGAGAGAAAGUGGUCACUUUAAUGUAAACACUUACGGAUGAAGGAAAUGCUCAAAGAGCCAAGCGCGGAGUAUAGAGACAGAGUUUUCAGGUAAGCCUCUUUGCGGUCUCCAAGAAGGUCUAACCAUUCCAAGCUGUUGAUGCAAAGCUCUCUGUUGUCUCAGCCUCUGAUCUAAAUACCUAAGACGCGGUAUCCUCUCUCCUUGCUCUUCACAAGACUCCUUGUCCUCCCCAAGCUUCCCUCUAAUCACCUGAACCUGCUCUUUUAACGCAUCCCUUAAGCAGCGGAAAUGGCGAGAGAUUCUGUUCAGAGCCACUGAUGUGUAAGGCUUAGCUGCUCCGAGACCAGCUACCAUCUCGAAAGAGGAAGCUAAUGCUUCCAUCUGGUGGUGGUAUUGGUUGUACCUUUGGUCUACUUCAUUGACCAUUGUUAAGAGCUUGUUCUUCUUGCUCUGAAGCUCUUGACGUUCUGAAGAAGAUAACUCCUCAUUGUCUGUGUUGUUUUCGCUAGACCCAUUGGUAAAGUCUUGACCUUUGUCGUUGUUGUUCUUGGUCUUCUUGUUACUAUCUUUCCUGACGCUAACAACUUCAUCUAGCAAUAGCUGUGUUGGUUUAAGGUAAGGAGAUCUUAGAACGCUACUCACGAACCCUGUCGUCUCGUAACGGUAGUUGUUGUAGAGUCCAACUCCGUUGAUGUAACCAGAGGAAGGACUCUUCCCAUUCUCAUUAGACAGAGAAGGAUUGUAAUUCAACUGGUUCGGGAGGUUCUGGUAAUGGUAUUGGAUCUGGUUACCGAGGCUUAAAGAAAGUCCUCCACCGUGGAAGCUUAGAUCGUUGCUUGAAACCGUUACGCUUCCGUUAAGACCAGCGCUUGUUGUUGGUGGGAUAAAAAGCAUCUCGUUUUGAACACCGC
rnacentral:lncRNA from 1 species